rnacentral:rRNA from 1 species
UACGAAGGGGGCUAGCGUUGUUCGGAUUUACUGGGCGUAAAGCGCACGUAGGCGGAUCGUUAAGUCGGGGGUGAAAUCCUGGAGCUCAACUCCAGAACUGCCUUCGAUACUGGCGAUCUCGAGUCCGGAAGAGGUGAGUGGAACUCCUAGUGUAGAGGUGGAAUUCGUAGAUAUUAGGAAGAACACCAGUGGCGAAGGCGGCUCACUGGUCCGGUACUGACGCUGAGGUGCGAAAGCGUGGGGAGCAAACGGG